GAUAUAUGAAUUGAUAACACUUAACUCAGAGUUUGAAAACAACAAAUGAACUCGACCUACAACAUGAUAACGACUUCAUUAACCAACAACUUACUCACAAACUGUGGUAAGUAAUCACAACCAUUUCUAGCCAAAUGGUCCGAAAUCAAUCACAAUCGACUGAAGCAUAUUUUAAGAUCGCGAAGGUAUAGUAAACUCAAACCAGAGGUAGAAUCAAUGAACCACCGCUAAUCUAAAAAACCCAAAAUACUUUGACGUUGUGAAGACAAACAAAAUCUUGCAACCUACAAAUCUCAACAGAUCUAAAACCAAUCAAAGAUUCAAGAAUCCAAAUGUCAACAAACCCGCGUCAGAGAAGAUGGGGCUUAUAAGCAGCAAAAAAACGUCGUCGGAGAAAGAGAUGAUACAAUAGUAACUGAGUCGUAUCCAAAAAACCCUCCGGUGACUGCUUCUUCCACCCUUAAAUCAAAAUCUGGUGAGGACUCAACCGGAAAAAACAAAUCAUCACAACUUUAGAUAUGAAGAAAUCUGUUACUGAUCUGCCUAUAGCGAGUAAUAAUAGACCAACCGACACCAACCCAGAAAUCUCAAUAAAAAAAUCAAACCCGCUAGUAGAAGAUAGAAACGAAACAUGGCGUUGCCGGAAAUAACGAGCUGGUGCCGAAGUAUUGAAACACGGUUGUGCUGAAGACAGUUGUGAUGUGCGACCCCAACAGGGUGAAGAGGUGAUGCGGAGAAACCUUCUCUUGUCGCACCACCAUUAUGUAAAAUUAUAUAAUGGAAAAUGGGUUCUGGAUUUGGGGAAGAAGAACAGUAACUAAAGGUAAAGGUAUAGUGCAACUAGGGAGAAAGUGAGUUUUCUUUUCGUUGCUAAAAUCAAAUUUUAAAAGGUUAAAAACCUUCUUUCACAUAUUCUCUCGCAUCUUGAAUAUUAAAUAUCAUCUUAAUUUUCUUGAACCAUUUAUGGCAAUUCUUGUUAUCAAGAAAUGAUAGAUUUGUUAGAAAAUUGUUGUUCCCCACCAUAGUUUCAAUCACU
rnacentral:lncRNA from 1 species